GACUCUUGGACUCACACGAACCAGAGCCUUCUCCCCACACUCGAGCGGCGGCGACGAUUCUCUCCGUCUCCGGUCAAACUUCCCCGCCACCGUCCGGCCACGUCACCAAUGCCUCUCUCCCGGUCUCCCUUCUUUGUUCACUCGAUCUCUCAAUGCUUCGGUUUGGCAAGGGCAAUCCAGUGUUUCUUCGAUUUCGUGAUGAUGAUGAACGUACGCGAAGGUGAAGAUGAUCGUCAAUAACAAGAAGUUCAAGUCGGUUUUUUGGCUCAAAUGCGAGAUGUUACAGGUUUGACGAGUAUUCUUGGACUGAUGCAAAUGCACUGGCUGUCUCAGUGAUGCAGGUUAUGCACGUUUGCUACUGAGACGGUUCAGAACUGGGAGGUUUGUAGUUGCGACAUGGAGUUGAAUUCGGCUUAUGAAACUCACAGUUUGGCUUGAAACAUGAUCACGUAUAGCAGGUUCUGGCUUAACAAUGCAAUUUGGUUUGAUGGAAUCUCGCGGGUUGGCAUAUGGUACUUUUGGAGGUUAUGAAGAUGAAGCGAAAUGGCUUGUUGGAAGCAAAAUGAAGCUGACUUAGAAACAGGAUAGGGUUUAGGAGGGGGUGCUGACUUUGGUCCAACAAUCAUUAUUAUUUUUGUAAUUUUUUGUAAGUUUGGAAAGAGCCUUGAAUAGUUAUUGAAUGGAGGCUUUGUUAGAAAUCUUGGAUAGAAUUGAAUGGAACUUGUUUAAAUAAUGGUGUAUACCUUUGAUCCAUAGUUAAAAUGAAUGGA